rnacentral:pre_miRNA from 1 species
AGGGAGCACCGGAUCCUGGGCUGUGUCCCCCAGUGCCCUGAGCUCUGGGGCCUGCGCUGCUGGAAUGGUGCUCCCAGGCGCAGCUCCCU